rnacentral:lncRNA from 1 species
AUCUUGGCGGGUGUGGUUUGGCUGAAUAAUAUUUCAUUAUCCUGUAUACAUCUUCCAUAGCAGAUGUGCUUUUAUGCGUAUUCGGAUGGUCAUUUGGGGACGCCCCACCUUCCACGGUUCUGAAUGAUGCUGCUAGGUACCAAUGAUCAAGUAAGUCCCUGCUUCCAUUCCUUCAGGUGCUUAUUUAAAAGUUAAGACAUGCUGGACCACAAGGUGCUGUGUGUUUAAGGUUCCUCAAAGCCAUGGUCGGCCCGUUUUGAUGCAUGAAUAGGGUAAGUAAUCAGGCAUACCCUUACAGCUGGAUUAAAGAGCGCUAAAACACUCUUUAGCGGCUCAGGUUAGGACUUCAGCAGCGUGGCUGUAAUCGAGGCCCAGCUAGGGGAGGUCAUAGAGGUGGGGCUUUCAGGUAAAGUACCAGGAGUAAAAAACCUGCUUUGUUUUACUUGCUAAGUUUUAAUUACACCACCAAACAGCUAAUUGGUUUUUCUUCCAGUUGCUGUUUUUUUUAAAUUUUGUAAACUUUAUUAUAAACAUGGCAAAUAGGUAAUUAUUUACUUAUUUACACACAAAAUUAACUAGAACCAAAGUCUAACUAGAACUACUUCUUCUCUACAGUUAGAAUUGACAUUCGGGCUUGGCAGUGGUGGUGACCUCACAGCAGAGAUGAUGACAGUCAACAGAUAAGUUGGAGUAGAAGAGAUACUGUGAGUGGCUGGCUGGCUUAAAGAGGCCCGAGGAGAGACUAAAGGGAGCAAGGGUAGUAGUGAGAGGCGUUCUCUUCUUGGGACCUCCUGGUGUCACUAAAGGAAAAGAAACCAUGGUAAAUAUAACUAGAAUAGUUAAAAGUUCAAUGUGUUACCUACAGUACAGUGCAAGAUAUU